ACGAAAUAAUAAACCUAAGAAAAAUAUAUUUGGAUCUUUGCGUCUUUUUUUCUACCCUAAUUGUGAUUUUUGUGACUAACUUUGCUGAAACUACAUGUACAUAUGAGCCAUUACUUCAACUCUUUUGUCUCCAGACACCCCCUGGCCUCAUCUCUCCACGUUCUUUCGUCUGGUUGCCAUUGUCAUGUACCUGCUGUGUGACCGGGACGGCAACAACUUGGAAUCCAGUUUCUUCACCAUCAUUUAGAUAGACAAGGAUGGGAAUAGUUUUGGGGUAUUUGAGACCAAAAAAGUAAACAUCUUGUUGAAGGA